CAGCGGCCGAACAUUUUCUAGAUUUUCUUCUAUACCCUUCUUCUGGUUGAUGUGUGUGUGUGAGAAGUUCAGGCCUGGCUGGGCCAGGUGCACCGCACUCCUGUCUUCUAAGCAAACUCAAAGACCUCUCUGAGGCUGAGCUAACUCACCUGAGUGUGUAGAGGCUGAGUCUAACAGGCUACACCUCCGCCCCUAGUCCGUGACUCCGCCUCCCCUAAGAAGAAUCACUCCUCCUUAUGUCUAGCCAAUAAGAUAAAUGCUCCUCCCAUGCUCUGCCCCCAUGGUUGUCCCUGUAUAAACCUGUGCAUUUCCUAAAUAAAGCAGAAGCAUUCCAGAAACCUUCCCGGGGUCUGUCCGGUGAUUCCAUGCCUUACCCUCCCAGUCCGAGCUCAGGAACCAAAUUCCGCAGACCAAGCAGCAGACAACAGCUGCAAAUCACCUCUUUCUGCAUACUUCAACUUGGUAUCUUCUACAAGGAAUGUGCACAAGCCAGCAGGGCAAGAAGACUGUGUGCUGCACAUUUAAAUUGGAUGAAAACGGACACGAGAAAGAAUCGAGACGCCAAUGUGGAGUUGUACACACCGCGUCACUGCACGCCUGAAUCUGUCUCCGAGGCCUGGCCAGCGGCGAAGCACCCAGCGCCUCCUACGCCCCAGCUUCCUCCAGGAGCGUGGGCUGGCGGGCAGCUCUAACUCAGGCAGCGGCCGCUAACGCGGAGUGAAUCUUCCUCUCCGCCCAGAGCAGCAAUAUUGCUUGUGCCUGCUUGAUUCAGAUUCUGCAGUGGAUACCAGGGACCGAGGAUCAGACGCCAAUACGCUUCUUACUGAGAGAAGAACAACAGUUGUGGGGAAAACACACCGGCACAGGGCGACAUCAAAUGGCUUCAGCAAAUGCCCAGGGAGCUGACUGUUCCCACAGCAACAAGAAAACAUUCUAAGCUAGAAAGUCUGCCAGCAAGUUAUGACUGACACAGUCUGGGCGAGGUCCCAUUUGAAUCACAGAGGCUACCUCUGGAAACUUGUAUAAAAUUCUUUGGAUGUUUUCUAAUGAGCUUAAGAAAAACUGUCCAUAAGUCAUUACGUACCUUUACCUUCGGUGCAAUGGAUAAAAGCAAUAUCUAAAGUGGGCCUGACCUCAAAUGGUCCUGCUGUCCCGUUAUAUAGUUUAUCAGGUGAUUUAAAUGCUGUACCUAUGGGCAGCACUAGUCUGCCUUAGUAAGGAGUGUGUGGUACAGUUUACUGCCCGAUUCCAUUAAUUCCGAAGUCAAUUUCCUAACAAAAUCAAAACAGUGGCUCUGUGAGGUUAUACAUUUUAUUUAAGACCCAUCGGGUCACAGGGUUCUGCCGAGAAACUGUAUUGUAAGAAAAUCGCCUUCAGUUAUACUCUUCAGGUGUCAUGAUGCAAAAAAAGAUUAAAACUGAUUUUCAAUGUACCUGCUCCUUGAUAAGGUGAACACGUUAAAAUUCCAGAAGAGCUUAUGACUUCUGUCCCCCAGCAGCUUGUCAGAGUGCCUGCCUGCCCUUUCCCAGGUGGUUAACCAGGGUUUGGACUGCUAGCUUUGCGUGAUAAAACCUUAUGAGUCAUUCUGAGUCAUUCUCAGGUAAAGCUGACGAAACUCCCACCUUGCAGCACGCGGCUGAUUUCCCAGAACUCGCUAUUCAUAGGCCACAGGCCGCUGUCCUCCUGCUCAUAGGCUGAUGUCUCGCAGUUGUUAGAGUGCAGCUGCGUGUUCAUGGUGUCGGGCACCACAGGAAGGGAGGCCUGGAGGGGAUGGGAAGGAAGGACAGAGUGACGCAGGGCAGAAUGGAGGCACGAGGCUCUGGGCUUGGACCCCAGCGCUGUCAAGGAGACAAAAACACUACAAAAAUGAAUAAAACAGUAGUACUGUGUCUUCAAAUUAAAUGUUUUUUAAAAAUUCUCUUAUGAAAAAGCACAGGAAAAACAGACCAGGCAUAAGGAAUUUGAAUGGAGUUCAGGACUAAUCCCGGGUAGAUUACAGGAACCUGGUAGAGUAGAUGUAAAAACGAAAGAAAAUGAAGAUAAAGAUUUAAAGAAGGUUGCCAGUGGAAGCAGAAAGGAGUUAACAGUGAAGGAAAGGAACCAGAGUGUCCUUUAAGAAGGAAAGGCUAAGUCCCCCAGCGAUACUUUCCAUGGGCUCCUAACCUAGGCAGCUGGGCAGGUCCAGCAAAGCUGCGGGGCCGGGCUGCCCAAGGCCUUGGGGUGAAGCCCUGCACCUCCGUGCACCCCGUUUUGUGCUGUGGAUUCUAGGCAGGUUUUUCUCCAGAUUUGUGUUCCGAAUGUACCUGGGGGCUCUAAACCUCUUUGCGCCUGUCUCUUUUGGAGUGGGAAUGUCGUAUGUCUGUCCCAUCACUGCAUUUUGGAAGUCGGCAACUUGUUUUCUUUCAUUCUCUAAGAUAAAUUUACAUCAUGUGGCCCAGAGAAAUGGAGUUUUUCUGCACAGCAAUACACAUGUAAUUGUUUGUAGCUACGUUAUUUGUAGCAGCCAAAAGCUGAAGGUACCAUGCGCCCCUUGUAAGUGAAUGGUAAAGAAACAGGAACGAACCCCUGCCGCGGAUGUUCCUUGGCAAUGCAAUAAAUGAACCACUGGUACGAUCACCAUCUGGAGUGUGCCACGGACAUUCUGCUGGGUGCAAAAAAUAUAAAGUCAGAAGGUUACAAACAGUACCACUCAUAUAACAUUCUUGAAAUUGUAAAAUUGCAGAGAAUGAACAUAGACGGAUAGUGAGAGGCAACGCAAAAAUGCCUUCGUGGCGACGGUGGUGACGUAAGGCUGCCUGCUUCCAUCUUUGAAUUCCGCGAUUCUGUGUCUCCGCAUUCUUCUGCCUCUCUGAUUCUUUUCUACUCGAGUCAACACAGAUUCCGAAUUGGGAUGGACCAGGUACAGGAAAGAUGUGGAACUGGGGACAUUUCCCUGUCUAGGGAGAAGGGAAUGCUGAACAACAACCUGGGGGGCACACAAAUGGGGAGUCACCGG
rnacentral:lncRNA from 1 species